AACGAACGCUGGCGGCAGGCCUAACACAUGCAAGUCGAGCGAAGCCUUCGGGCUUAGCGGCGGACGGGUGAGUAACGCGUGGGAACGUGCCCUUUGGUACGGAAUAGCCCCGGGAAACUGGGGGUAAUACCGUAUGUGGUCGAGAGACGAAAGAUUUAUCGCCAAAGGAUCGGCCCGCGUUGGAUUAGGUAGUUGGUGGGGUAAUGGCCUACCAAGCCGACGAUCCAUAGCUGGUUUGAGAGGAUGAUCAGCCACACUGGGACUGAGACACGGCCCAGACUCCUACGGGAGGCAGCAGUGGGGAAUCUUAGACAAUGGGGGAAACCCUGAUCUAGCCAUGCCGCGUGAUCGAUGAAGGCCUUAGGGUUGUAAGGAUCUUUCAGUGGGGAAGAUAAUGACUGUACCCACAGAAGAAGCCCCGGCUAACUCCGUGCCAGCCGCCGCGGUAAAAC
rnacentral:rRNA from 1 species